UAAUUCAUAUACAAAAAAUCUUACUGUUUCAUUAGAUUCCCUCAAUAGUUGUGAUUGCUGUUUAAUUUCUGUAACUGUUUUUUUACCCAUUCGAGUGAUAAUGGAUUAAAAUUUGUCAUCAAAGGCCUUAGUUAAAAAGAUUGUUGGGUUGUAGUUUGUUUGAACUUGAGCUAUUAAGCUGUUAGAUUUAUUUUUUGGAAUUAGAGCUGUUUUGCUAGCUGUUUGUGGUACUGAUUUCUACUUCUGAAUCAGACCCCUUUCUGCUCUUAUUUCCAGGUAUUUCCUUGAAUCAUUGUUAUCAAUGUUGUAUUACAAGUUUGAACCUAAUUGAAUUUAUGUGAAGAUCCAAUUACAUGAGUUUGAACUUAAGUAGAUGUAUUAGCUCCAUCUAAUAGAUUUUGUUACCUUUGUUCUUUGGCUUACCAUAUUUUAUAGUAGCUUAGUUUUCUUGUAUUGGAUUAAUUGCUUACUUCCAUGAUUCAAAUUUACUGAUCCUGUAGAAUAGAUGUUUGGAUUCAGGGUACUGUAAUAGUAAAUGAACACUCAUAUGUAAAUGGACUGUUAAACAUGUUAUAAGGAUUGCUACCUGAAUAUCUUAGUUGGUUUGUUUUCUUGUAGUUUGGAAUUAGAAUUUGGUAUGAAGAAGUUUGGUAAUGAUACUGGGUGCAACACGUUUGGAAUAUGGAUUUUGGAACUGUGGAGUUUAAUUAGUUCAUGCAUGUCUAUGUUUGUUUCAAUCAAACUUGAAGCUAGUCUGUGUUUUGAUGUUUAUUGCUGAUUCAUGCUUACUGAAAUAACAGCUAUAUGUUAGAGUGAAAAAUUUUCAAUUCGAAUUCAUGUUAGGUAAUGUUUAGCUUGCCAUGCAAUACUGUUGCUUAAAGUCAGGGAUAAUUAAUUUUAGUUAAUUUUUCUGGAAUAUUUUAAAGCAUUUGUGGUUGUAAUUGUUUCUGUGUAUUGGAUCAUAAAAUUGAGUUGUAGCGUUGGCCCGAAUGCUCUAAGGUGCAGCUUUACAUUGAUACACUUGUUCUAUUGGGCUUAAGGCAAGCCCAUUUUCCCCUUUGUAGCUGUAUAGACACCCAGACGUUUGAUUUGGGCCAUUUUGUACAUCUUGGGACAUAAGCCCACUUGGUUUGAAACUUGU
rnacentral:lncRNA from 1 species